CGGCCGAAGUCGCAAUGGUAGUGCGACUGCCUGCGACGCAGAACGUUCCGAGUUCAAUUCUCGGUGGGCCAU